rnacentral:rRNA from 1 species
CACCGCGGUUAUACGAGUGACCCAAGCUGACAGUCUCCGGCGUAAAGAGUGGUUAACAGACCCUACAAACUAAAGCCGAACAUCUCCAAAGUUGUAUAACACAUUCGAAGGCUUGAAGCUCAACCACGAAAGUGGCUUUAAUCUCUUUGAACCCACGAAAGCCAGGGAACAAACGGGGAUUAGAUACCCCCUUAUGCCUGGCCCUAAACCUAGAUAGAGCCCUACCUACUCUAUCCGCCUGGGUACUACGAGCACCAGCUUGAAACCCAAAGGACUUGGCGGCGCUUCACACCCACCUAGAGGAGCCUGUUCUAGAACCGAUGACCCCCGUUCAACCUCACCUUUUCUUGUUUUCCCCGCCUAUAUACCGCCGUCGUCAGCUCACCCUGUGAAGGUUUUUAGUGAGCUAGGCUGGCACAGCCCAAAACGUCAGGUCAAGGUGUAGCGCAUGAAAAGGGAAGAAAUGGGCUACAAUUGCUCCAACAGCUAACACGGACUGUUUGCUGAAAACGCACACAUAAAGGAGGAUUUAGAAGUAAGGGGCAAGCAGAGCGUCCCCCUGAAAUGGUUCUGAAGCGUGCACACACCGCCCGUCACUCUCCCCAGUAAGACUAAUACACAGUAUAUAAAUACACAAACCUACGAAGGGGAGGCAAGUCGUAA